rnacentral:rRNA from 1 species
ACGUAGGAUGCAAGCGUUGUCCGGAUUUAUUGGGCGUAAAGAGUUCGUAGGUGGUUCAUUAAGUCUGAUGUUAAAGAUCGGGGCUCAACCUCGGGAGUGCAUUGGAUACUGGUGGACUUGAGUGCAGUAGAGGCAAGCGGAAUUCCCAGUGUAGCGGUGAAAUGCGUAGAUAUUGGGAAGAACACCGGUGGCGCAAGCGGCUUGCUGGGCUGUAACUGACACUGAGGAACGAAAGCUAGGGGAGCAAAUGGGA